UCGCCUGUUUAACAAAAACAUCUCUAAAUAUUUUAGUAAUCCUGCCCACUGAUAAAAUUUUAACGGCUCCCCUAAGGUAGCGUAAUAAUUAGUUUAUUAAUUAUAAACCUGUAUGAAGGAAUUACCAAAUGCGAAUAAAUAAUCUCUUUCUUUUAACUUUAGAUUUCAGUGCAAACGCUAAAAUUUUCUUUUUAGACGAUAAGACCCUAAAAUCUUUCAAUUUUUCAUUGGGAUGAUUCUGUUUAUUAACAAAACUCUUUUAAAUUUUAAGAACCUUACCUAAGCUAAAAGCUUAAGAUACUUUAGGGAUAACAGCUUUUAAACUUUCUCAAGCACUUAUUAAAAAAGAUUUAAAGACCUCGAUGUUGAAUUAACCUUUUUUAGCCGCAAAAGGCUCCCUAUUCUAGUCUGUUCGACUUAUUUAGGUUACAUGAUUUGAGUUAAAAUCGACGUAAGCCAGGUUGGUUUCUAUC
rnacentral:rRNA from 1 species